CAUUUUCAAAGUUCGAUGACGCGCUGCAAUUUAAAAUUCUUUGUUGAUAGUUUGCUAUCACUAUAUCAGCUGAGUCCACAUUCUGGCUUUGGCUGUACUAAAGACUUUAGGGAAGAAUCUGAUCUGAAAUAUGCCAAACAUCAUUAGAUCUAGAUUCUAGAUGUACACAUCAAAGGAAGAAGCUUCGACGUUCGAAGCCGGCAAUUGACAAGGUGUCCGAUGGUAACUUAGAAUAGGAUCAGGUGAUCGCAGGCCUAUGGCUUGUGGCGGCUCGUAUCACAGAA